AAUCUUCCACAAUGGGCGAAAGCCUGAUGGAGCAACGCCGCGCGAGUGGAGAAGGUUUUCGGAUCGUAAAACUCUGUUGUAAGGGAAGAACAAGUACAGUAGUACCUGGCUUUACCUUGACGGUACCUUAUUAGAAAGCCACGCCUAUCUACGUGCCAGCCGCCGCGGUAAUACGUAGGUGGCAAGCGUUGUCCGGAAUUAUUGGGCGUAAAGCGCGGGCAGGCGGUCCUAAAAGUCUGAUGUGAAAGCCCACGGCUCAACCGUGGAGGGUCAUUGGAAACUGGGGGACUUGAGUGCAGAAGAGGAAAGUGGAAUUCCAAGUGUAGCGGUGAAAUGUGUAGAGAUUUGGAGGAACACCAGUGGCGAAGGCGACUUUCUGGUCUGUAACUGACGCUGAGGCGCGAAAGCGUGGGGAGCAAACA
rnacentral:rRNA from 1 species